AGCGAACGCUGGCGGCAGGCCUAACACAUGCAAGUCGAACGAAGUCUUCGGACUUAGUGGCGGACGGGUGAGUAACACGUGGGAACGUACCUUUUGGUUCGGAACAACUCAGGGAAACUUGAGCUAAUACCGGAUGAGCCCUUAGGGGGAAAGAUUUAUCGCCGAAAGAGCGGCCCGCGUUAGAUUAGCUAGUUGGUGAGGUAAAGGCUCACCAAGGCUACGAUCUAUAGCUGGUCUGAGAGGAUGAUCAGCCACACUGGGACUGGGACAAGGCGCAGACUCCUACGGGGGGGAGGAGUGGGGAAUCUUGCGCAAUGGGCGGAAGCCUGACGCAGCCAUGCCGGGUGAAUGAUGAAGGUCUUAGGAUUGUAAAAUUCUUUUACCAGGGACGAUAAUGACGGUACCUGGAGAAAAAGCCCCGGCUAACUUCGUGCCAGCCGCCGCGGUAACAC
rnacentral:rRNA from 1 species